AUGUCGCAUGACAACGGGGGUAAUGUGGAUAGCAUGAUGAGUGGUGUGGGGACAAACCAACAGUGUGAAUAUGCACACAUGGCAAGCUUUGGUUCUGCCAACAUCAACAAAACAGACGAAGCCAGCGAGCCAGCAAGUCCAGAAACAGGAGGAGAGAAUGCUGAACAGGGAGACAAAAACACCGAGGCAUACUCCACACUGAAACCUCCUAAUGAAACAAUGAAGUUUGAUACUUUUGAGGAAGCUUGUGAUCACUACAAGCAAUAUGCACUGAGAUAUGGGUUUGGAAUGAGACUGGAAUACAGAAAAACAAUUAAAGACAAUAUUGUAAGCAGAGUCCUCUUGGCUUGUGGGAAAUACGGCAAGCCAAAAACAAACAAGGAGGAGACAGAGGAUGUGCAGGACCCAAAAGGCAUCGUGAAGAAGAGGAAAAUAGGGAAGGUUGUGAGGUCGGGAUGUCCGGCCCACCUUUACAUCACCCACACGGAUGCGUGGUGGAGAGUCAAACGCUUCAACAACGACCACAACCACCCUCUAAUAAGAAAGCCGUCCUUGAAAAAGUUUGUAUCAUCACAUAGGAACAUUCCAAAAGAUGAGCAUGACUUCUUGAAGAUAUUGCACGGAUGCAACAUAGAGACAGCAAGACAGAUGCAACUAAUGUCAUCGUUCUACGGGAAUCCUAAAGAUGUACCAUACACAACAAAGGACAUCGCAAACCAGCGAGCUCAAUUCCGGAUGGAGUACCACCAUGCUGAUGUGGGGAGCACAAUCUCGUACUUCCAAGAUAUGAAGGCACAAGAUCCAGAUUUCUAUUGGAGAAUAAAGCUUGAUGAUGAGGACAGAGUGGAAAAUUUAUUCUGGAUAGAUGGUGCGUCGCGCAGGGCAUAUGCUAGAUACAAUGAUGUUAUCUCAUUCGACACAAUAUACAUGACAAACAUGUACAAAAUGCCCUGUGUGACCUUCAUUGGCAUUAAUAACCAUGAGCAGUCAAUCCAGUUUGGUUGUGGGUUUGUUCGAAAUGAACUAUCUGGUAACUUUGUGUGGCUGUUUAAUGCAUUCUUGCAUGCAAUGGGUGGAAUUGCGCCAAAGAACAUAAUAACAGAUCAAGAUUUUGCAAUGAGGAGUGCUAUUGAUGAGGUGUUCAUCGGGAUAGAUUAUGUUGACAACAGCCUGACUGUUGAGGAGUUUGAGCACAAGUGGUGGGUGAUGAUGGAAGCGUAUGGCCAGACCGACAACGAGCAUUUCCAAUGGCUGUGGGAGAACAGGAAGUGUUGGGUCCCGGUAUACCAUAUGCAUGAUUUUUUACCGUUCUUGCAGACCACGGCAAGAAGCGAGGGUUUUAACUCUGUGCUCGAGAAUUAUGUCAACCCAAACAACUCACUGGUCGAAUUCUCACAACAGUACACUACGAUACAGGAUAAGGUGAUGGCUAGCGUGUCAAAAGAGCAGUUGGAAACAGUGUACAAAGAAACCGAAAUGUACUCGAUGAACCCGCUGGAGAUGCAGGUGCGGGGGCUGUACACACAUAACUUGUUUUGCAAGUUCCAGGUGGAGAUGAAGGUGAAAUCAACCUACAGAUGCAACGCAUUGGAUGAUGGACUUUCAAGGUCAGCUCAGUGCGGGGGAUAA
rnacentral:rRNA from 1 species